GGGGCCAAGACAAGAUUUUCAAGCUUUUUCCCCACCCCAAGUGACCUCGCUGAAGACCGAGAGCGCUGACAGCUGCCGUUCCUCGGCCGGUCGCUAGUUGGGGCUCACGGCAAAGGGACGAGCCCGACUGCGGACUCCUCUCCCGGGAAUGCGCUCGCCGUCCCGGCCCCUUCCCCGCUGGACAGCCGGGGGUGGCUGGUGCGGCACCUCCCGCCACGGCAGCGGGGCCUGCCGCUCCUGGAAGGGCUUUCCCUUGGGAAGCUUCACGGCUCCGUGAGCUUCCCACUAAAAAGCCCACACAGGAGGUAGCUACCCGCUGCUGUCCCGGCUUUGCAGGAAAAAGAAGCUGAAAACUACAUAUGCAGGGUGGUACCAUUCCUUUUCUGUCUCUGACCAAGGAUGUAAGCUGAUGAUCUCCAUGCUAUUCUGCUGUGGCUCUGUCACUCCUGACCUGACCUUCAGGAUACACUGAGAGUAUUCUGAGUCCUUCCACAGUGUCUCACACUAGCACUACAGGACUUUACCUACCUCAGAGAUGGAGUCACCAGAACUGCAGGGGACUGCAACAGCUAUGGGAAGAGUCUUGGAAUGAAUAAUGUUAAACCACAUACUUACAUUGGUCAUGUCAUUUGGGCUCAAAGAUGAAAGAAAAUGCACAAAUAAUGCCUUGAUUGAGAUAUGUACCAACAUCAGGCUGGCGAGUUUGAUCACUAUUCCUGCCUUGUGAAGUAUCAUAGCUCCUCCAUGGUCAGCUGGAGGAGUAAGACAAUGUCCCCUUAUUAAAACUGUGUCAUUGACACGAAGAAAACCUGGGCAAGAGCUCUUUGCAUCUGAUGGUUCCCAAACACAGCCAUCAACUUGCAAUGCUCCUUGGAAAUUCCUCUCCCUGUGACACCAUAAAACAGAUAAAAUAAACUCAGUAAAAAAGUGUAAAUCCAGUGUCUGAAUACUAAAUUCCAAGACUGAGUUGUCUCCCCACCUUAGUCCCGUAUACAUCAUCUUGUAAGGACUCCACACCACCGGGAGUCAUGCUGGAGAGAUGUAACACCAAAAUCUCUCCCC